rnacentral:rRNA from 1 species
GUAGUUUGAUCAUGGCUCAGAGCGAACGCUGGCGGCAGGCCUAACACAUGCAAGUCGAACGAACUCUUCGGAGUUAGUGGCGGACGGGUGAGUAACACGUGGGAAUGUGCCUUUUGGUUCGGAAUAACUCAGGGAAACUUGUGCUAAUACCGAAUGUGCCCUUCGGGGAAAGAUUAUCGCCAUUAGAGCGGCCCGCGUCUGAUUAGCUAGUUGGUGAGGUAAAGGCUCACCAAGGCGACGAUCAGUAGCUGGUCUGAGAGGAUGAUCAGCCACAUUGGGACUGAGACACGGCCCAAACUCCUACGGGAGGCAGCAGUGGGGAAUCUUGCGCAAUGGGCGAAAGCCUGACGCAGCCAUGCCGCGUGAAUGAUGAAGGUCUUAGGAUUGUAAAAAUUCUUUCACCGGGGACGAUAAUGACGGUACCCCGGAGAAGAAGCCCCGGCUAACUUCGUGCCAGCCGCCGCUGUAAC